CAUGAAACAAAACAUAUAUUAAAAAAGUUAAUUGAGAAAAAGGAAAGAAAAAGAAGACAACCAUGUGAGAAAAAGAUGCAAAACAGACAACCAAAAAAACAAACAAAGAUAGUGAAAAAAACAUGAAACAAAACAUAUAUUAAAAAAAAGUUAACUAAGAAAAAGAAAAGAAAAAGAAGACAAUCACGUGAUAGAAAGAUGCAAAACAGACAACCAAAAAAAAAAAAAGAUAAUGAAAAGAAAAACAAAAACAAAACAUAUCAUAAAAAAAGUUAACUAAGAAAAAGAAAAGAAAAAGAAGACAACCACGUGAGAGAAAGAUGCGAAACAGACAAAAAAAAGAUAGUGAAACGAAAAACAGACAAGAAAAACAAAGAUAGUGAAAAUAAAAACUACAACAAAACAUAUCCAAAAAAAAAGUUAAGUAAGAAAAAGAAGAGAAAAAAAAAGAUAACCAUAUGAAAGAAAAAGGUGAAAAAAAAAGCCGGUGAAAAGAAACUAAGACAAAACCUAUAAAAAAAAUGAAGAAAGAAAAAUAAAAGACACAGGAAAAUAACCACGUGAGGGGAAGGUUCAAAACGAAUACCAACUCUAAUAAAACUUUAACGCAACAGGUGUGAGUGUGUGUGUAUGUGUUUGUACAUGUUAGAGUGUGUAUGUACGUGUCAAGGUGUGUAAAAAAGUGCGUGAAGGUAAGGACAGCAACAUGGACGCCUCACCUGCCCUUACCUGUGCAUACCUGUGUUGGAAAUGAAAAGAAGAGUGACCGUGAAGCUUGAAAGAAAAUAGUAAGCCCUCACACCCAAAAGCCUCUUACAUUUUUGCUUUUUUUUGUAGUUUGCCCUCCACCACAACAAACACCAUUCCUACCACACAGACUACAACCAUUCCCCUACCAAACCACACUAUUCCCAUCCCUGUAACCCCAACCAGUCAACCAGAAUCAACCAAAAUAUACGAACAUUCCCAUUCACAUCACCAAAUUUUUUUCGACUUUUGACACCAAACAUCUCUUACAUUUUUGCUUUUUUUGUAGUUUCCCCUCCACCACAACGAACACCAUUCCUACCACACAGCCUACAACCAUUCCACUACCAAACCACACUAUUCCCAUCCCUGUAACCCCAACCAGUCAACCAAAAUCAACCAAAACGUACCAACAUUUCCAUUUACAUCACCUAAUUUUUUUCGACUUUUCACAUUUUUCUUGCUUUCCCCUCCAUCAACAGAAGCACCUGGAUGCGCGUGUUUCUGGCUGUGCUAAUGUGUGGGAAGGAAGUCUGACGGGGAGAGAAAAUACGACAGAAGCUAAAUACGGCAGAAAAUAGGAAAGCAGAUGAUAAACUAAGAACAGAAACUAAGACAAAAUAAAACAGAAAAUAGGGAAAAAGGAGCUAAAUAGACAGAACAUAAGGAAGAAAAUAUAGAGGCAGAUAAUAAGAAGACAGAAAUUAAGAAGACAAAAAAUAAGAAGACAAAAAACAGACGACAAAAAAAUAAGAAGACAAAAAUAAAGAAGACAAAAAAAGACAAAAAAAAACACCAAAUAGAAAACAAAAAAAGAAGAAAGAAGACAAAAUAAGAAGCUUGGAUGCGCGCGUGUGUGUGAAGGAAGUGUGACGGCGCGAGGCGAGAAAAAAUACAAUUAAUCUCAAGCUAAACAGGGCAGAAAACACGAGAAUUCCUGCACGCACCGGGAGAGACAGCAGUAGGAAGAGGGGGAAGAGAGGAGGAGAGGGAGAUAAAGAAAGGAGAGGAGGAGGAAGAGAAGGAAGAUAGGAUACGAGGUAGAGGAGGAAGAGGGGGAGAGGGAGAUAAAGAAAGGAGAGGAGGAGGAAGAGAAGGAAGAUAGGAUACGAGGUAGAGGAGGAAGAAUGGAGAAGAGGAAGAUAAAGAAAGGAGAGGAGGAGGAAGAGAAGGAGGAUAGGUUAACAUAGGAGGAAGAAGAGGAAGAGGAGAAUAACUAAAGAUCAAGAGGAGGAGAGGAGGAUAGAUAUGGAAGGAGGAAGUGAAGAGGAAGAUGAAUAAAGGAGAGAAAGAAGAAAAGGAAGAAAGGAGAAUAAGCAAAGGAGAGGAGGAGGUGGAAAGGAGAAGAGGAAGAAAAGAGGAGAAGGAAUAAAGGAGAAGAGAAAAGAGAGGAAUAAGAGGAGGAUAUAUAAAGAAGAGGAAGAAGAGGAGGAUAAAAAAAGAAGUGGAAGAAGAUGGAAGAAAACACAGAAAUUCCCAACAUCAGAGAAAGGAGGAGAAGAAGGAAAAUUAAUUGAACGAUGUAUGUAGAUAAAGGGAAGGAAGGAAUGGACAAAUCGCUGUAUGGAAAGAAAAUAAGCAAGAAAUGAAAUGAAAGAGAAAGGAGAGAGCAUAUUUGAAUUCGUGUAUGUGACAAGUGAGAAAGGGGGGACAUAAAUUAAAUCGUGCAAACAUAUACAGGAAAGAAAGUUAAUUUGAGUAAACAUGAGAAAAAGAGCGAAAAAACUGGAUAAAUAUGGAAAUGGAAAAGGGAAGGAAAGGAAUGGAAGAAAGGGAGAGAGGAGAAAAAUAUUGAACCCAUACAUGAGAGAGAUGAGAAAGCGAGGAAAUAAAUCAUACUGUGCAAAUAUAUAGGUAAAAAAAGUGUUAGUUUAGUAUGCAUGAGAAAAAGACCGAAAGAACUGGAUAACUCGUUGUAUGGAAAGAGAAAAAGAAAGGAAAGGAAUGGAAGGAAGAGAGGAGAAACAUAUUGAUCACGUACAUGAGAGAGAUGAGAAAGUGAGGGAAUAAAUCAAACUGCGCAAACAUAUGAGGUAAAAAAAGGUGUUCAUCUGAGAAUAUAUGAAAAAAAAAUUGAAAUACUGGAUGAACUGUUAUAUAGAAAAUCAAGUAAAGGAAAGAAAAAGAAAUGCGAAGAGGGAAGAAACGAGAAUAUAUUGAAUCCGUCUAUAACUCAAACUGUGCAAAUAUAUGUGGUAAAAAAAAUGUUAAUCUGAGGAUAUAUGAAAAAAAAGGGAAAAGCUGGAUGAACCGUUAUAUAGAAAGUCAAGUAAAGGAAAGAGAAAGGAAGGCGAAGAGGGAAGAAAAGAGAAUAUAUUGAAUCCGUCUAUAACUCAAACUGUGCAAAUAUAUGAGGUAAAAAAAAUGUUAAUCUGAGUAUAUAUGAAAAAAAAAGGAAAAACUGGAUGAACCGUUAUAUAGAAAGUCAAGUAAAGGAAAGAAAAAGGAAUGCAAAGAGGAAGGAAACGAGAAUAUAUUGAAUCCGUGUAUAACUCAAACUGUGGAAAUAUAUGAUGUAAAAAAGGUGUUAAUCUGAGUAUAUAUGAAAAAAAAAAGCGAAAAACUGGAUGAACCGUUAUAUGGAAAGCCAAGUAAAGGAAAGAGAAAGGAAGGCGAAGAGGGAAGAAAAGAGAAUAUAUUGAAUCCGUCUAUAACUCAAACUGUGCAAACAUAUGAGGUAAAAAAGGUGUUAAUCUGAGUAUAUAUGAAAAAAAGAGAAAAACUAGAUGAAUCGUUAUACAGAAAGCCAAGUAAAGGAAAGAAAAAAAGGAUGCGAAAAGGGAGGAAAGAGAAAAUAUCGAAUCCGUGUAUGCGAGACAUGAGAAAGUGGUGAAAUAAAUCAAACUGCAAUUAUAUGAGGUAAAAAAAAAUGAUAAAAUACAUUAAAUAAGAAAAUAAAAAAUACACAAACAGAAAAAAAGGACAUAGAUGAAAGCACAAAAAAUAAAUGAAAUAAUUAAACUUUCCAAUGAGAAAUGAAGUGAUAAAAUACAUUAAAUAAGAAAACAAAAAAUACACAAACAGAAACAAAAGAA